GGGUGGUACGCGCGCAGGGAGAACGCAUCUGCCAUAGAUCAAGAUACUGUCACCAAGAGAGAAACUUAAGAUACUUGAGAAUGCUGAUACUGAAAUCUGGAGCUCGUAAGCUGUAAAUAAACUAACAAUAUCGCUAGUACAUCACACGUCUCUCAGCUACCCGUGAAGGGCCAAAUCACCAUGUUGAGAGAGGUGGCGGCCGGAUACGGUGAGAUGCGUCAUGAUGGUCUGGUCGCUAGGCCGGUGGAGCGUGAAGAAACACGGCAGGGAACCCCGGGCGGAAGCUGGAAAGGCCGUUUGGAGGCAUUCGAGCGGCUCAUGAUUCCGAGCAGCGAUUCUCAUACACAAGGUGCACACAUACAUAGACCCAACUGAAAAGCAAAAGAAAGGAAAUGUGACGAUGUCGAUCAAGGAGAACGAUCCAUCUGUUUGCUACGGUAUAGACUGAUUGGUUCAUGGCAGAAAUGGCCUCCUAAGAACAACUGCAGCCAUACUUAACAAAUAUGAUCCUCUAAAUGUCCGCGGACACGUCCAGUCACUGAUCGGACGUAUUUGUUUUAAGCCUUUAUUUUUUUACCGUGCAGUUGUAUUUAAAAAAACACAUGUCGGGUCAGUUGCAAAUGAUUAGUGCAGAAGAAAAGAGAGAAAUAAAAGAAUGAGUAAGGAAAGAAAAAAGAUGACCCGGGGUGGGUCGCGUUCUACGUGACGGACUAGCCGGACGUGUCCAAGCGCGUCUGCAAACCCUCCUAUUGUUCCUAGAUUUGAGAUAAAUAUGAAGCGUGUCAGUCAGUCCGGACGUUUAGAAAGAAAAUGAGAGAUACGGUUGGGUCAAAUAUUUUGAUCGGACACUAUUUAAAAGACGUUUUGGGCGUUUGAAAAAAAAAAUAGAAAUCCGGGUGUAGAUGUUCUAACUUAACCAAAUCUAAUGCAACUCAAUUAGACACAACGGUGGAACCAAAAGCACGAACUAAAACCUAGCCGAGUACAAAAGACGAUGUCA
rnacentral:lncRNA from 1 species